rnacentral:rRNA from 1 species
AGCGGCGAACGGGUGAGUAAUGCAUCGGAACAUGUCCAUGUCGUGGGGGAUAGCCCGGCGAAAGCCGGAUUAAUACCGCAUACGCCCGAGAGGGGAAAGCAGGGGACCGCAAGGCCUUGCGCGAUUGGGUUGGCCGAUGUCCGAUUAGCUUGUUGGUGAGGUAAAGGCUUACCAAGGCGAUGAUCGGUAGCUGGUCUGAGAGGAUGAUCAGCCACACUGGGACUGAGACACGGCCCAGACUCCUACGGGAGGCAGCAGUGGGGAAUUUUGGACAAUGGGGGCAACCCUGAUCCAGCCAUUCCGCGUGAGUGAAGAAGGCCUUCGGGUUGUAAAGCUCUUUUGUCCGGAACGAAACGGUACGGGUGAAUAUCCCGUGCUACUGACGGUACCGGAAGAAUAAGCACCGGCUAACUACGUGCCAGCAGCCGCGGUAAUACGUAGGGUGCGAGCGUUAAUCGGAAUUACUGGGCGUAAAGCGUGCGCAGGCGGUUUUGUAAGCCAGACGUGAAAUCCCCGGGCUUAACCUGGGAAUGGCGUUUAGGACUGCAAGGCUUGAGUAUGGCAGAGGGGACUAGAAUUCCUGGUGUAGCAGUGAAAUGCGUAGAUAUCAGGAGGAAUACCGAUGGCGAAGGCAGGUCCCUGGGUUAAUACUGACGCUCAUGCACGAAAGCGUGGGGAGCAAACAGGAUUAGAUACCCUG